CAGCAGCCGCGGUAAUACGUAGGUGGCAAGCGUUGUCCGGAAUUAUUGGGCGUAAAGCGCGCGCAGGUGGUUUAAUAAGUCUGAUGUGAAAGCCCACGGCUCAACCGUGGAGGGUCAUUGGAAACUGUUAAACUUGAGUGCAGGAGAGAAAAGUGGAAUUCCUAGUGUAGCGGUGAAAUGCGUAGAGAUUAGGAGGAGCACCAGUGGCGAAGGCGGCUUUUUGGCCUGUAACUGACACUGAGGCGCGAAAGCGUGGGGAGCAAACGGGAUUAGAUACCCCAGUAGUCCCUGUCUCUUAUAC
rnacentral:rRNA from 1 species